rnacentral:misc_RNA from 1 species
GAUGAAGAACGCAGCGAAAUGCGAUAAGUAAUGUGAAUUGCAGAAUUCAGUGAAUCAUCGAAUCUUUGAACGCACAUUGCGCCCCCUGGUAUUCAGGGGGGCAUGCCUGUCCGAGCGUCAUUACAACCCUCAAGCUCAGCUUGGUAUUGGGCCCCGCCGACCCGGCGGGCCCUAAAGUCAGUGGCGGUGCCGUCCGGCUCCGAGCGUAGUAAUUCUUCUCGCUCUGGAGGUCCGGUCGUGUGCUCGCCAGCAACCCCCAAUUUUUUUCAGGUUGACCUCGGAUCAGGUAGGGAUACCCGCUGAACUUAAGCAUAUCAAUAAGCGGAGGA